GUUGUGGUUGCAAAGCAAGCCAGACUAUUGUUAUAUUGUUAUGUCAUUAUAAUUCCUCCCCCUAAUAAUAGGGAGCUCUCUUCUUCAGUUCUUGAGCUAUCAACGUCAAGCAAAUGUCAGAAAUGACUUCCUAAAAUAUUAUAAACUAGUUUUUGAAUAUUUUUUUAUAUGUAUUGUUUUUAAUAUGGAAAGUGAAUGGGGUUAAAAUGCUGAAAUCAACAACCCCAAACGUCAACAGAUGAGAAAUGUCAAAUUGGGCACACACGUAAACCGGAAGUAGGCAGGUAAACAGGUUUUCAACUGUUACGGCAGAGGGCACCAAAUUUGAACGGCCACACCCCCUCCCUCGCAAAAAAGUUGCACAACUUUUUAUCUGGGGCUCACAUGCUCAAACUUUUUGCCUAGGGUCCAUCCGGAUAUAUUUUCUGAUCUUGUUACAGCAUAGCUAACCCUAUGCUUUCGGAAACGUAAAAAAAAAAGAAUCCAAUUGUAGAAACAUUUCCCAUUAUCGCGUGGGAAACAAUAGCUGACGAGUCAAUGCGUGCAACCCAACUGGCCCCAAACGGACUUUGCAGCAACUAAAAAUGAAAUAUAAAAAUGUAGUUCAAACAGUUACUGAUGAUGGUGUAAUCUGUCUCGUGGAGCCUUCUGCCAUAACACACCUCCAUGCUGUUGAUGAUGAUGAAGACACCUUAUCAGCUGCCACAGAGAGGGAAGAUGCAGAGAGGCCUGUUGAGAGCAAUGCCGGAAGUUACAAUGAGGAAGAAGGUCCAUCAACCUCCACAGCACAGCUUAGAUGUGCACAGCUUAGAUGUUGUUCAGCAUUGACCCACAACUUACAAUGACACUAAGUAGACAUGGCACUGUGAAAUUCAAAGUCAUUUAUGUUCCUAUAGCUCCCUGUGAAACAACUUUAC